rnacentral:rRNA from 1 species
GACGAACGCUGGCGGCGUGCCUAAUACAUGCAAGUCGAACGCUUCUUUCCUCCCGAGUGCUUGCAUUCAAUUGGAAAGAGGAGUGGCGGACGGGUGAGUAACACGUGGGUAACCUACCCAUCAGAGGGGGAUAACACUUGGAAACAGGUGCUAAUACCGCAUAACAGUUUAUGCCGCAUGGCAUAAGAGUGAAAGGCGCUUUCGGGUGUCGUUGAUGGAUGGACCCGCGGUGCAUUAGCUAGUUGGUGAGGUAACGGCUCACCAAGGCCACGAUGCAUAGCCGACCUGAGAGGGUGAUCGGCCACCCUGGGACUGAGACACGGCCCAGACUCCUACGGGAGGCAGCAGUAGGGAAUCUUCGGCAAUGGACGAAAGUCUGACCGAGCAACGCCGCGUGAGUGAAGAAGGUUUUCGGAUCGUAAAACUCUGUUGUUAGAGAAGAACAAGGACGUUAGUAACUGAACGUCCCCUGACGGUAUCUAACCAGAAAGCCACGGCUAACUACGUG